rnacentral:rRNA from 1 species
GCUACGGGAGGCAGCAGUCGAGAAUCAUUCACAAUGGGGGAAACCCUGAUGGUGCGACGCCGCGUGGGGGAAUGAAGGUCUUCGGAUUGUAAACCCCUGUCAUGUGGGAGCAAAUUAAAAAGAUAGUACCACAAGAGGAAGAGACGGCUAACUCUGUGCCAGCAGCCGCGGUAAUACAGAGGUAUCAAGCGUUGUUCGGAAUCACUGGGCGUAAAGCGUGCGUAGGCUGUUUCGUAAGUCGUGUGUGAAAGGCGCGGGCUGAACCCGCGGACGGCACAUGAUACUGCGAGACUAUAGAGAUGGAGGGGGAACUGGAAUUCUCGGUGUAGCAGUGAAAUGCGUAGAUAUAAGGAAGAACACCAGUGGCGAAGGCGGAUUACUGGACGAUAACUGACGGUGAGGCGCGAAAGCGUGGGGAGCAAACAGGAUUAGAUACCCGAGUAGUC